GACGGACCACCCAAACGUUAUUCGGAAUCACUGGGCUUAAAGGGUGCGUAGGCGGUGUAGUAAGUCGGGUGUGAAAUCCCCCAGCUUAACUGAGGAAUUGCGCCCGAAACUGCUGCGCUCGAGGGAGACAGAGGUGAGCGGAACUGAUGGUGGAGCGGUGAAAUGGCGUUGAUAUCAUCAGGAACACCGGUGGCGAAAGCGGCUCACUGGGUCUCUUCUGACGCUCAGGCACGAAAGCUAGGGGAGCAAACGGG
rnacentral:rRNA from 1 species